rnacentral:rRNA from 1 species
GAUGAACGCUGGCGGCGUGCCUAAUACAUGCAAGUCGAGCGAACGGACGAGAAGCUUGCUUCUCUGAUGUUAGCGGCGGACGGGUGAGUAACACGUGGAUAACCUACCUAUAAGACUGGGAUAACUUCGGGAAACCGGAGCUAAUACCGGAUGAUAUUUUGAACCGCAUGGGUCAAAAGUGAAAGACGGUCUUGCUGUCACUUAUAGAUGGAUCCGCGCUGCAUUAGCUAGUUGGGAAGGUAGCGGCUUACCAAGGCAACGAUGCAUAGCCGACCUGAGAGGGUGAUCGGCCACACUGGAACUGAGACACGGUCCAGACUCCUACGGGAGGCAGCAGUAGGGAAUCUUCCGCAAUGGGCGAAAGCCUGACGGAGCAACGCCGCGUGAGUGAUGAAGGUCUUCGGAUCGUAAAACUCUGUUAUUAGGGAAGAACAUAUGUGUAAGUAACUGUGCACAUCUUGACGGUACCUAAUCAGAAAGCCACGGCUAACUACGUG